rnacentral:rRNA from 1 species
CAACUCGACUGCACGAAGCUGGAAUCGCUAGUAAUCGCGGAUCAGCACGCCGCGGUGAAUACGUUCCCGGGCCUUGUACACACCGCCCGUCACACCAUGGAAGUCUGCAAUGCCCGAAGCCGGUGGCCUAACCACUUAUGUGGAAGGAGCCGUCUAAGGCAGGGCAGAUGACUGGGGUGAAGUCGUAACAAGGUAUC